CACACAUAUUCAAGAUAGGAGAAGCUUUAGUUUGACCCUGGGAGCGAGGCUAUGUGCCGAUUGCGUUGGCAUAUAGUGAAUCACUGGCUAUUCUGUCCCCGUGCCGUUUGAGAAGCAUCGCUUGUUGAUGAAGUCAAGUGAGCCCAGUUUUAAUAUUAAACAGGGAACAUUUUGAAAAUUUUCUGGCAGAGAAGCUGCAUUCGCAGAUAAGCCGCAAGCAAUACGACAUGGCUGAUUUGUACAACAAAGGAAACCAUAGAGAAGGCUGUAAAUCCUGUGAUCCAUACUCUGGGUUUGCUAUGGUGCACGACAAAGGAGGUCCUCUUUGCCGCCCAUGGGCUGUCAUUAUCUCCGUGCAGCCCACCUUUACAAUUGACCAGUGCUGGGUGCUUCUUCGACUCUGCCAGCUCCUAACAGUGUUCUGUUCAACCAGAUGACCCUGUACCGUCGAGAAGCCCAUCUUCAUCCCAUCCGAGCAUCUGGGACGGCUCUCGAUGGCAUCUUUGCACGCAUCCCAGAGCACUCACUUGCUGAGCUUGUGGCGUCCAUAACAACUUGCUUUGCUGCCAUAUUCUUGCCAGUAGUUUUCGAAAAAGGACAGUGGACACUGGUGGAAAAAAUCGCCUGUCUCUGCUUUUUGCAGGUGUUUCAAAAUUGCUGCUCUCAUAUAUGGUGCGCACAUAGGAUAGUGCUUGGUGUAUUCUACCUUGCUCGACAAAGUAAUGGAUAAUAUGGCUAAUUUUGACACAGUUUGACAAACAAUCCACUGCACACACUGUCAUUCUCCAGGAAUUCCUGGAGAUUCACCAUGACUUUGGGGACCACCAUGCUAUCUACCCUGAUGGGACCAAAGUAAGCAAUGGUGUGGCGGCUGUUGCCCUUGAAGGCGAUUCUAUUAUAAUGGCACACUUGAACACGAAUGCCACAGUUUUCACCACAGAGCUUUACGCGAUUCUCCUGGCAGCACAUUCAACAAAAUGACCUUCAAAGCUCCGUUAUUUACUCUGAUUCGCUAAGCUCUGUGCGUGUGCUGCUUUCAUGCUCUGACACCAAGAAUCACCUCGUCAAGCAAGGACGGGCGCUUGCGACUCAACUUUGUUCCCGAGGCUUUUCAAUCUGUCUCUGCUGAGUCCCCAACCACACUGGGAUCCCAGUGAAUGAACAAGCUUACCGUAAGGCUAUGCGAGUGUUGGCACAAGAGGAGUCGCCUCUAGGACUACCCUACCAAGACAUCCUGCCAGUGUUAAAGUUCAGCAUUGCUCCGCUUUUAGCCUUUAUCACCCAGUUCCUCAUGUAAAUCUCUCAUCCUGGAUCAUCUCAUCGCUCAUACUUGUAGAUAGCUUUUAAUUACUACACUCACUUGUUAUCGUCCUCUCUCUCUCUCUCCCACAUCAUCUCUCUCCCAUCAUCAUCCCCCACACACUCCCCAUAGUUCUGGCACUCUUUGGCCUUUGCCGCCUUUGUGCCAUUAAACACAUAACCUCUCUCUCAAAUUUUUUAUGCCCACGUGAUUUGUUAUAAUCACCUAUGCAUUAUCUUGAAUCCCACGAGUUCUCGUUCACGGAGAACGGUUGAAUGGAUUGUGGAUGAUCGCAUUAAGACAUCCCUUGCUGCUGUGCGCCAUGCACUUAACACCAUGUUCAUCGUUCUUCAGUGACUCCAGCUUAGUCAUCUGUUUGCCAUCUGUGUUAAGCAGUCCCGGCCAAGGUAGUGUCUCCGAGGUCUAUCACAUAUCCACCUUUUCAUUUCAAGUACAUGUUGCUGGGUGAGUGUCCUACAAGCUGAGAAGUGUUCUACGUCAGCACUCCAAAACACCACAGCUGCUCAUGUCGUGCUGGAGGUUAACGAACCAUUUUGAGUUUCAUACCGAGGCUAACGUGCCAUUUUCUGUUUCUUCUGUAUUUCACACAGAGAAAAACGAUCACCGUGGUCCUUCACAUUCUUUCUGGAUUCUUUGAGUGGGUCGAAGCACAUUAUUUCUUACUUCUUUAGAUCUACAGCAAUGAGGGUCCAGCGUCUUGUUAUGGGAGCUAACUGCAUUCUUUCCACCUCUGGCUCUCUAUUCUCUAUAUUGCCUUUCCAUGGCUGUCUGUCCUCAGUUUCUACACCAGGGAUGUUGCCAUAUUCAGCAUCUGUACUACCGCAUGGCAUGUGCUUGGCUCUUCGUCAGUUAGAUCUUCUGUUAUAUCUAUUAGAUCUAUCUUCGUCACAUCACCUCUCGUCACCUCUCUGCCUCCAUCACUAUAGCAUACAUCGGAAUUGCCCUUCUGAACGGCAAAAGGAUCACACAAGCUGACUUUUAGCGACACUUGUGUCACUGCUGUCCGAACUGGUGACUACUACCUCACUAUGAUUAGGCUCAAAUUUUUCUUUUUUUUUUUUUCUGGGGGAGAGGUGGGGAGUACUGUACUCGGCUCAUUUCGUCAUCACUUGUGCAGUGUUUUGUCAUGCCAUUAGUGAUGUAUUGACGUUCUGGACUUCCAGAAUGUUCCCUGAUCUUUAUUGUGUUGUAUUGUGCUAUUGUAGUAUUUCUGGAACACUGCACAGCAGGAUUGCCAUAUUUCAUUUGUUGUCUAUCAGCGUCAUCCACGCCUGUGUCAGUGGUUACAUGGAAGCAGGGAUGGCGAGAUAGGAGAGUCAUCUUUGAAGGAAGGGAGCCCGCAUCCUGGGCCUCUUCAGGGGCCCGUGGUACCCAGGGCCCAACUCUUGCUGCGCCCAACCAUGUGCACCCAGCGCACGGACUUCCGUGUGCAAGUGAUGCUGCAUGUGAUUAAUGUGCAGUUACUUUCAAGGAAGAGUUCAACGAGAAAGUUUUUUUCAAGCCUGCUUCAGAAAAUACUUCGUGUUUCAUUCUGCUCCUGUAGUCUGGCAACAUCAGUGUCGCCAGAUAUGCAACGAUUCACUCAGCACUGGAGUCUUGUGUCACGUUUUAACACGGUUACAUAUUUUCCUCAUACGCAAUCACAGUGGUACUGCAUGCAGGUAUCACUUCGCAUCUGCUUGCUGUGACCUUCUCUGUUCUCACAGCCGAAGCACUCUUUAUCUGCGUUUCUCUUCAGCGUUUCUGCUUCACUCUUCAGCUGCGUUUCAAGCACCCACUGACAAUGCUCUCAAAGAUGUGGUGCCACAUUUUUCUUAUGUCACAUGCACCUUGUCUUUGUCCUUACUAGCCUGAAGCCACCUGCUAGUGCAAACCAGCACACAAUGAUUCCACCACUCUCUUCUUCGCUAUUCAACCACUGUUGCACUAUUUGAGGACUCACUGACCUCCCAGGGAGAGGUGCUUGAGAAAAUCAGUUAAGAGAUCGUAAAGCAGGACUGAGUCCGUGUCACUGAGGGCAACAAACAUUGCCCGUUGCUUGUCUCGUUUGUAAUAUGGGAUGAAAAGCGUGUUCCUGUCGUCCACGGACUUGGUGACGAGCAGUUCUUCUGCGAGUAAAUGUGCCACAUUAUCACCUCUGAACAGAGGCAUCAAGUAGGCGUAAGUACUUGCAACCUUGUCAAACCUUAGGCUGAGCUACAUUAAAAAUGCCUCAGUUAUUGUGUCGAAGAGGUGGCCCUUCUGAAAUAACUGGUCAGACGCACAUAGCUCGACUUCUUUAGACCUGUCGAUUGUAGUGUCGAGGGACCUGAGAUCAACGAGCCUUAUAAAUAUGUUUGAGGGCUUUCCAAAUGCAAGUACAACAUCACUACCUCUCCUUGCAUAUGUAAGGCAGAUAGGUAAGAGAAGGGCAGGCUCGCAGCUUUCGGGCUUCGCCACCCUGGAUUUCCUGUUUCUCUGAUUGUCAGGCAUCCCCAUUGCUAGCGUGUGGGUGGGGACGGAUGUUUUGUCUCUUCUGUCAGGAAGUGAACCUCUUUUUCGCUUGACGAGGGCAUGCCAAUUUCCAUUGCUUUUUGCAGUUCUUUUUGCUCUUCCAUUGCUUGAUCUAUGCUGUGCUUUCCUCUUUCUUUGCUUUGAUGGGGUUUUCUGUAACUGAAUUGCUUUUCCAUUUCUUUUUUUGCAGCACGGAGCAAGCGGCACUUCAUUUCGGGUACACCUUGUGGGGUGCCCUCCGUUAUCAGAAUCUGACACACUGCUAGUAGUGUAUCUAUGGCCAAGGCAAUAUUGUGCCCUAAUGUCUCAGGUACAACUUCGAUGUCCAGGUAGCACACUAGUUUCUUGAGUUUGUCCAUUGAUGAAGUCAUUUUUCCUGAAGCAUUCACAGAGCGGAAUAGCUUCCCAUUCAGUUGCCGAACCUCAACUGUCCCCUCUAUUUUUCACAAUUUCAUAUGAGUUGUCGCUAUUUCCUUUUUCUGCAUAAUCACCUAGGCCACUUAGUCCACAAGCUCUGUCUUUACGUCUGUCUGUACUCCCACUCAGCUUUUUUGUACUUUAUCUCCCUGCAGAUGGCUUGCUCCUGCCAUAUGUAACUUGUUCCAAGGGGAUUUUUGAAAUCAAUAAACUGAAUUGAAUUGAAUUUUGUGCAACUUAGACUGGACAUUUUCACAAAUGACAUUGUUUACGUCUGGUGCUGCUGGGUUCCACAUAUCUGGACCCCCAUUGUACGAACAUUUCAACUUGACAUGGUAAGUGCCGAAUGAAG